AUUAAUAGAUAUAAUCUUUAAAUUUGAAGAAUUUGGCGGUAGUUUAGUCCUGUUAGAGGAACUUGUUUUUGGAUCGAUAUUCCACGUAAAAUUUUACUUAUUCUAAUUAGUUUGUAUACCGUCAUUAUCAGAUGAUUUUAAAAAGAAAUAAUCAUUAAAUAUUAUAUAUUGUUAAGCUAAAUUAGAUCAAGGUGCAGCUGAUGAAUAAGUUAAAAUGAGUUACAAUAAAAUUUAUUUAUUACGGAGUAAUAAAAGAAAAAUAUUAUAAAGGAGGAUUUAAUUGUAAUACAGUUUUAGUAAGUCUGUAAGAUAUAGGCCCUAAAUUAU
rnacentral:rRNA from 1 species